UGUAAUGUAGUUUAUGUAAAAUGUAUGUUUUACACACAUAAGAACUCGCUUGAGUAUUACUA
rnacentral:tRNA from 1 species